CUCCGGUGAUCCCUGCCGGACCUGACUGCUAUCGGAUUGGUACUAAGCCAUGCGAGUCAUUGUAGCAAUACAAGGCGGACGGCUCAGUAACACGUAGUCAACCUAACUCGUGGACGUGGAUAACCUCGGGAAACUGAGAAUAAACCACGAUAGAUCAUAGUGCCUGGAAUGGCUUAUGGUCCAAACAGUUUACUGCCAUGGGAUGGGACUGCGGCCUAUCAGCUUGUUGGUGAGGUAAUGGCCCACCAAGGCGAUUACAGGUACGGGCUCUGAGAGGAGAAGCCCGGAGAUGGGUACUGAGACACGGACCCAGGCCCUAUGGGGCGCAGCAGGCGAGAAACCUUAGCAAUGUGCGAAAGCACGACUGGGUCAGUCCGAGUGAUUCCUGAUAAAGGAGUCUUUUAUCUGUCCUAAAAGCACAGGUGAAUAAGGGGUGGGCAAGUCUGGUGUCAGCCGCCGCGGUAAUACCAGCACCUCGAGUGGUCAGGACGUUUAUUGGGCCUAAAGCAUCCGUAGCCGGCUUUGCAAGUCUCCGGUUAAAUCCACCUGCUCAACAGAUGGGCUGCUGGAGAUACUACAAAGCUAGGGAGUGGGAGAGGCAGACGGUAUUCAGUGGGUAGGGGUAAAAUCCUCUGAUCCAUCGAGGACCACCAGUGGCGAAGGCGGUCUGCCAGAACACGUUCGACGGUGAGGGAUGAAAGCUGGGGGAGCAAACCGGAUUAGAUACCCGGGUAGUCCCAGCUGUAAACGAUGCAAACUCGGUGAUGCAUUGGCUUAUGGCCAAUGCAGUGCCGCAGGGAAGCCGUUAAGUUUGCCGCCUGGGAAGUACGGACGCAAGUCUGAAACUUAAGGAAUUGGCGGGGGAGCA
rnacentral:rRNA from 1 species